rnacentral:rRNA from 1 species
UGGGGAAUAUUGGACAAUGGGCGCAAGCCUGAUCCAGCCAUGCCGCGUGAGUGAUGAAGGCCUUAGGGCUGUAAAGCUCUUUUAGCAGGGAAGAUAAUGACGGUACCUGCAGAAAAAGCCCCGGCUAACUUCGUGCCAGCAGCCGCGGUAAUACGAAGGGGGCUAGCGUUGCUCGGGAUUACUGGGCGUAAAGCGCACGUAGGCGGACUCUUAAGUCGGUGGUGAAAUCCUGGAGCUCAACUCCAGAACUGCCUUCGAUACUGGGAGUCUUGAGUUCGGGAGAGGUGAGUGGAACUGCGAGUGUAGAGGUGAAAUUCGUAGAUAUUCGCAAGAACACCAGUGGCGAAGGCGGCUCACUGGCCCGAUACUGACGCUGAGGUGCGAAAGCGUGGGGAGCAAACA